UACGUAGGGGGCGAGCGUUGUCCGGAUUCAUUGGGCGUAAAGCGCUUUAAGGCGGUUCGCUAAGUCGGGUGUGAAACCUCCAGGCUCAACCUGGAGACGCCACUCGAUACUGGCGUGACUAGAGUUCGGUAGGGGACCACGGAAUUCCUGGUGUAGCGGUGAAAUGCAUAGAUAUCGUCAAGAACACCGAUAGCGAAGGCAGCUUACUGGGCUGUAACUGACGCUGAUGCACGAAAGUGUGGGGAUCAAACAGG
rnacentral:rRNA from 1 species